GAUGAACGCUAGCUACAGGCUUAACACAUGCAAGUCGAGGGGAAACGACAUCGAAAGCUUGCUUUUGAUGGGCGUCGACCGGUGCACGGGUGAGUAACGCGUAUCCAACCUGCCCAUCACUUGGGAAUAACCUUGCGAAAGUAAGACUAAUACCCAAUGAUAUCCCACGAAGGCAUCGGAAUGGGAUUAAAGAUUUAUCGGUGAUGGAUGGGGAUGCGUCUGAUUAGCUUGUUGGCGGGGUAACGGCCCACCAAGGCAACGAUCAGUAGGGGUUCUGAGAGGAAGGUCCCCCACAUUGGAACUGAGACACGGUCCAAACUCCUACGGGAGGCAGCAGUGAGGAAUAUUGGUCAAUGGGCGAGAGCCUGAACCAGCCAAGUAGCGUGCAGGAAGACGGCCCUAUGGGUUGUAAACUGCUUUUAUAAGGGAAUAAAGUGGGUCACGUGUGACUUUUUGCAUGUACCUUAUGAAUAAGGACCGGCUAAUUCCGUG
rnacentral:rRNA from 1 species